rnacentral:rRNA from 1 species
AUGAUGGCAUGGUUCGCCUCACUGGUCGUUCUUGGCAGCGUCUAUGUAGCCGCCUUGGCGUUCCGCCUCCUUUCGCACCUUACCGUGUGCCUCCGGCGCUGCUAUGGCACGUGGGCCGUCCUCACGGGGCCAACAUCGGGCAUUGGCUGGUCCGUCGCCAUGGAGCUUGCGCGCAGGGGACUGAACCUUGUCCUCGUCGGCCGUGAUCCGGCAAAGCUCCGUGACAUCUCCGAGACGAUAUCCAGGGCCGCUCCCACCGUGCAGACCAAGACUGUACUCUUCGACCUGUCGCUCCUCACCACCGCCCAGGGUGAGGAGGCGAUGCGGCAGCUGCAGCAGACCGUGGAGGAGUUGGACGUUGGACUGCUGGUGAACAACGCGGGCGUGCUGGAGCCCAGCGCGGUGUUCCUGCACGAGGCCGACGUGGAGGCAUGUGUGGAUAUGAUACGGGUGAACCUGCUAGCGCUGACCGAGGUGACGGCGGCAGUGAUUCCCGGCAUGGUGAAUCGCGGGAGGGGAGCUGUGGUCAACUUGGGCUCGGCUUCGUCAGAGGCCAUCCCAUCCUUACCCCUCUACACGAUGUACGCCGCAACUAAACGCUAUGUCGCUCGGUUCUCGAAAUGUCUUCACGUUGAGUAUAGACGCAAAGGAAUCGAUGUGCAAUGCCAGGCACCGUUCUUCGUGGAUGGCACAAUGGCGUCAAGAUUCGCCGAGGCCAGGCGUUUUGUGCCAUUGACGCCAACGCCAGACGCCUACGCCCGCGCGGCAGUGCGCUGGAUCGGACACGGCCCACUAUGCGUGCCCAACUUCCGACACCAGAUAAUGUGGUUCUUUGCGGGAAUUGCGCCUGACUUUUUGCAAGAUGGAAUCCUCCUGCGUGAUCACCUAUGGCAAAGAAAUGAGUUACAGAUAACGAGGUCUUUGCCCGAGGUGUGCCCUAUUAAGCAAGGUGGACAUGCGGCUGCCUGA